GGCUUAUAAUUGAAGUCUAGUAUGAAUGGGACCACGGGAAUACUCUGUCUUUAAUAUAUAAAAGAAAUUACUAAUUAAGUGAAAAUUCUUAAAAGUAGAAAAUAGACGAGAAGACCCUAGAAAUUUUUUAAUUUUGAUUUUGUUGGGGCGACAGGGUAACAAAAAACUUACCUAAGAUAAUAGGAAAUUUUUUAGUGGUGUAUUUAAAUUACUCUAGGGAUAACAGCAUAAUAUUUUAAAGGUUGUGACCUCGAUGUUGGACUAGGA
rnacentral:rRNA from 1 species